rfam:Schizopora paradoxa strain KTC8140 unplaced genomic scaffold SCHPAscaffold_00116, whole genome shotgun sequence.
GCCCUUGUAGCUUAGUGGUAGAGCGUUGCACUUGUAUUCUUAGGAUACGAAAUGCAAAGGUCGCUAGUUCGACUCUGGUCGGGGGCA